rnacentral:rRNA from 1 species
GACGAACGCUGGCGGCGUGCUUAACACAUGCAAGUCGAACGGAAAGGCCCUGCUUUUGUGGGGUGCUCGAGUGGCGAACGGGUGAGUAACACGUGAGUAACCUGCCCUUUACUUUGGGAUAACUUCAGGAAACUGGGGCUAAUACCGGAUAGGAGCUCCUGCUGCAUGGUGGUGGUUGGAAAGUUUCGGCGGUUGGGGAUGGACUCGCGGCUUAUCAGCUUGUUGGUGGGGUAGUGGCUUACCAAGGCUUUGACGGGUAGCCGGCCUGAGAGGGUGACCGGCCAAAUUGGGACGGAGAUACGGCCCAGACUCCUACGGGAGGCAGCAGUGGGGAAUAUUGCAAAAUGGGCGGAAGCCUGAUGCAGCAACGCCGCGUGCGGGAUGACGGCCUUCGGGUUGUAAACCGCUUUCGACUGUGACGAAGCGUGAGUGACGGUAAUGGGUAAAGAAGCACCGGCUAACUACGUG